rnacentral:rRNA from 1 species
GGGUUGUGAGGUUAAGCGACUAAGCGUACACGGUGGAUGCCUUGGCAGUCAGAGGCGAUGAAGGACGUGCUAAUCUGCGAUAAGCGUCGGUAAGGUGAUAUGAACCGUUAUAACCGGCGAUUUCCGAAUGGGGAAACCCAGUGUGUUUCGACACACUAUCAUUAACUGAAUCCAUAGGUUAAUGAGGCGAACCGGGGGAACUGAAACAUCUAAGUACCCCGAGGAAAAGAAAUCAACCGAGAUUCCCCCAGUAGCGGCGAGCGAACGGGGAG